rnacentral:lncRNA from 1 species
GUAUCUUGGCUUUAUUUCUCACAACGACUCGAACACAUACAUGAGGUACACACGCAAGCACGCGGCACAACCGGAAGAACUCUCACGUCGACCGGGCACACACCACGGUCCCGACGGAGACUACAUCUUCUAGACCCCUCACACUUGGCUCGACACACCCCGUUGCUCGGCAACACACCGGAGCAUGGCUACACACACCGGCGCCUCAAUCAGUACAUGGGAGGAUCCUUUUAUACCCAAACUAGCAACCACGUCGUGGCCACCAGGCACGCACGCACUCCCCGGCCACCUAGUCUGGCCACUACCACCACGCACGAUCCAACUAACUCCAUGUAGCUAACAACCAGCUAACUACAUGCACGUCCAUAUCCAGCUGCUGCAUGCACGCAUUAACUGCUCGCUACAUAUAUGCCAUGCACGAGCAGCCUGGGACUCAUGCCAACGACCAAACAAACUACAUGCAUGCAGCUAACUAACCUCUAUGCUAACCAACUGACUCAAGACAAAAUCAAAGUCAUGAUUAUCCUAACAA